rnacentral:rRNA from 1 species
GUAGGGGACAAGCGUUAUCCGGAUUUACUGGGCGUAAAGCGCCCGUAGGCGGCCUGCCAAGUUGGAUGUGAAAGCUCCUGGCUUAACUGGGAGAGGUCAUUCAAAACUGACAGGCUAGAGGAUGGAAGAGGAGAGCGGAAUUCCCGGUGUAGUGGUGGAAUGCGUAGAGAUCGGGAGGAACACCAGUGGCGAAAGCGGCUCUCUGGUCCGUACCUGACGCUGAGGGGCGAAAGCGUGGGGAGCGAACGGGAUUAGAUACCCCGGUAGUCCACGCUGUAAACGAUGGAUACUAGGUGUAGGCGGUCAUUAACCCCGUCUGUGCCGCAGCCAACGCGUUAAGUAUCCCGCCUGGGGAGUACGGCCGCAAGGUUAAA